UACUCUAAUGCUUGGUGGAUUGUUUCUAAGAAUGGUUGGUCCUUUGUGUAGUACAAAGGACCCAUCUGUGAAAUAAUUCUUACCUGAAAAGCAUUCAGGUACUAUAAAAAUAUUAAGAACCCUUUGCUCUCAUGUAAUGCUUUACUGAAUUUUAUGAGAUCAGACAGAGCAUCCGUCUGAACCAAGUUUUCAGAGUUAGUACAGCAGAUAAAGUUCUACUAGAAAGAAUUAAAAAGCAAACUUAGAGUAGUUUUUGAACUUCUAACGACUCGUGCUUGUUUUGAGCUAGCAUCAACCCAACUCUUUCAAAGCAAGACAACAGGCUAUGGAAAUGUCUGCUAAGCACUGCGAGCACAAGUCAUUUUGGUCAUAGUGGGACACUGCUCUUGGUAACAUCCAGGGUAAACCACCUGAGCACAGGAUAACGGAGGAGAUACACUUCACAAAUGUAAAGUAUUUAUUUGUCUGCCCAAGAGGCUUUUUUUCCUGUGUUACUUCCUGUUACUCAGAAAGCUAAUUUGGGCAAGUUGGUGUUUUUCCCCCUCUAAGAUGUCAUGGCAUCGUAGUUUAGAAGAAAAAAAAAAAGAAGAAAAAAAGAAGGAAGUGUGUCAUCACUGUGGUUUUAGUUCUCCACUUAGAAUACAGGACAUGUAAUUUCAGUUACAGAUUUGCUUAAAAAAAAAAAAGCAGCACUGUCCAAGCUACUUGCCUCAUGUUAAUGGACGUUUGCAUCCUAAGAGCAAAUACAUGCACAGAGAAAUCUUACUAUUAAAGGACUAAAUACCUAAACACCAACUUUCUUUUGAUUGCACCGUGGAAAGGUGACUGAAGAGGAAGAUGAAGACAAAGAGACGUGGCAAACCACAUUCUGCUUUCCCUCUUGCGAUAAUCUUUUCAUUGUGUUUGCAAUUAAGUGCAAACCAUACUGACUAUCCCAGGGUUACCAAUGAAAUCUGGUAUCCAAUCUGCCAAAACCGAACUUGCAGUCAGAACAUAACAGAAGCCAACACAAGAUCUCCUCCAGGCAUUGAUUUUAAUGGCAACCCAACACCCACUGCUGAAAUGCUGACAGCCACCUCCCAGUCUUUAUCUUCAACAAUGGGCCCAAACUCCUCACCUUCCUCUGCCCAAAGCGUUCCUGACACUGGAGGACUUAGGAAUACCAGCAAACCCAAGAUCCCCAUGACAAAAGAAAUAUGUGAAGACAAUAAGUUUCUUACGCUGAUUUGCUUCAUUAUAAUAGCAGCCCUUGUACUCAUCUGCACCUUUUUGUUCCUGUCAACUGUCGUAAUAGCAAAUAAACUGUCCUAUCUCAAAAAAGCUCAACAGGGAAAACGUCGGCCCAGGAGCAAUGGUGAUAUUCUGGCUACCAACAGCUUCUGGCCAACGGCAGCAGGAACGUGGCAGAGGACACCUAAGGAGACAACUGGCACUAACGUGGUAAUGCAGGACUUGCUAUCAGAGAGAGAUGCUGCAAUCCAAAUGAGAACCCAAGAUGAAUCUGCUGAGAGUCACGUUAAAGACACAGAUAAUAAACAUGAAAACAAAGAAACAAUGUCAGACAAAAACAUUUUAACCAAUUUUGUAGUUGAGAUUUAGUCAACUAAAAAGACCUUCAGCUUUUACAUUUUAUACUGGAUUAACAUGAGACAGAAACUUAGUUUUCAAGAAACAACACACAUUGUAACACGGUAAAGCUAACUCUUCAGGUUUCUCAUUUUCUCAGGCAGUGGGUAUGCUGUAAAAACCUGUACAUCAAGAAGGGAGCAGGACUGCAUUCAAGAGAUUUUUAGAAAUAGCACCAGGGCUGUUUUAACUCUCUUAACCAGCAAUCAUGGUUGUAGGAACCACACAGGAUAAAGCAGGACAGAACUUUGCCAUUUUUAAAGAUCACUGGGGGACAAAAAAAGGAAAGGACAGUUAGAAUAUGCUAUAUUUAUGCAAACUAAAGUGCUACACAGGCACCUGCUAUUUUAAGAAAACCAUAAUUCAGUCACAACUUUGAUGCCAUUACAGAAUCAGAAACUAUUCUGUUAAAAUGCCUUUCAGGUUUAUUCCAGCAAAACUUCUGAAAUCAGCUUAAUUGCUUUUGAACCAGAUUGAGAGCAGUCAUGCUUUUUGCUUUGAUUUUAGGUGUAAAUAUGUGAUGUUUGUACUGUAUGUUAAAAUAUAAGAACUCCUUUUUGUAAUCAUCAAUAAACUAGAAACAUCAGUUUUUAAAUAAAGUUUACAUUCUGUUUUUUCUCCAAGUCACAAGGGGUAAAACCGCAGUAUUGUGAAAAAGCAGGAAAAAAGUAGAGAAUCAGGAUCCUAUCAGUGGAAAGAAGGAAAAGAAACAGUAAUGAGGGUGGGAUCUGCAGCCAAAGACAAGUGGAAACUGUGAGGAUUGAAGGGAACUUGGAUGAGGUAAGACUCAAGAAAGUGUGUGCCAUAGUAUCAGCAUGGGAUCAGGAUUUGCAUGUGCAGCAGGAUUUGGUAACAGACUGGAAAAGUGCCAGCACAGCCAGCAGAGCACAGCAGCAGGCAUGGGACAUGGAAUGGCUAUGGUGGAAGGCACCAGAAUGCACUUGCAAAAUGCUGUGAGGAUAGACUUGUGCACGUUUCUUUUGGCAGGCAGCCUUUCUUGGCCAAAACACUCAAGGAGACAAAAAAGUAGUUUGGGUUACGAUAGAAAGCAAAAAACAACUGCUUAGAGCAUGCAGUCCUCUUUUAAUGGUGGCAACAGGUGCCACCAUUGUCCAGACAGAAAAGCAAAGUGGGGAGGGGAGGCAGAGGAAGGGUGAGAUCUGCAGCUAUCUGCCUGUAACACAGCUACCUAAAGGAAGAUGUGCAAGCCAGCACCUCGUGAUCAGAUAGUGCUCUAUGACUCACUGUAGCAAGCCUAUGGUUGCAUUUCCAUUAAUAACAACGAUAACUCAUCAAAACCACCAUUGAAUUUUUAUUAGUAAAAAUGAAAUCCAAUCCAAACUUACUUCUGUGUCAUUCAAAAAAAUUUGUAAGCACAACCAUUUUCAGCAAGGACUGGAAAACAAGCAUUCAUGAAUUCCUACGUAACAGACACACACCCAACAAAGGCCACUUAAAUAUUUGACUUUUAUAAAGACAACUGAGCUGAAAAGUUUGCUUUUAAAUCAUGCAAACCUUGAGCUAAGCUUCUUAGUAGUCCUCCUACUCUUGACACUUCCUGCAGCAAGUGUUGGUAAACUUCCUCUUUAGCUGCAGAAACUUGCUUCAACGCGCAACAAGCCAUUUUAGAGCUGCUCGACUCCUUGCACAGUCUGUCCUCUUAAGGCUUCAAACAAAAACUAAGAGAAUGCUUGCUUGACAGAAGACAAAGGAGGAGAUAUUUAAACAGACUGUAGGAAAAUGGUCAGCAACGCAGUAAUGUGGGUUCUCUUCUGUGGAGAAAUUUGGAAAUCAUUUUCCACUGAAAUACCUUCAAAUGCUUCCACAAGUGGAAGCACUGUGCACACCAGCACCGG